rnacentral:tRNA from 1 species
GAAAAAGCAUGCAAGAACUGCUAACUCUACAUCCCGUGUCUAACAACACGGCUUUUUCA